UAUUUACUUAUAUCAAGAUUAAUCUCAGCCAUUAGACGCAUCUAAAGGAUUUAUUUCUAAAAUUAAAUUUGACUAGGGUUCCAUCUCUUUCCCUCUUCCAAGGAAAACCAACGCCUCUCUUUUCUCUACCAUGGCAGAAUCUUUUUUGGCUCCUUCUAAUUUCUUAGCGAAUUUGACUCUCAUAUCUUAUAAUAAAAAUUUUGUGUGGCCAUUCUAAGAAAUCAUUUGCAAAAUCAAGAACUUCAAUUGAAGAAUUCAAAUUUGCUUGCUAUUUACAAUGAAGAUGGCAGAGGUAAAAAGGUUCUCUUUCUUUUGUGUUUCCUCCAAGAUUCACAAUUUUGGCAACCGAAUCUAUGCUCACUCUGACCAUAUCGUCCUUUGCUUUCUGCUACACACUAUUUCAAAUGGGUUUUUAGCCGUUUGAAACCCUAACCCUUCAAGAAUCCCGCCCAAAUCUACCCUAGAAGAGCCCUAAUGCAUCUCCUAUAAAUAUCAGACUUUGUGGCUAGUUUCGGGCACCUUGGUACCCGCCGCUUCAGACCCUUGUACGGUUACUCCUCUUUCAUUUUUACUCCUUUAAACCAUUUUCUAAAAGCUUGCUUCUCUCUUGGUUUUUUGAAAAAAUAUAACCUUGAGGCAUUACUGUUUUUUCGGAGUUUGACUGUCGCGAAUCUUAGGCCGAAAAUAGUAGACCUAUUUGCACGCCCCAAGUUCGCUAGAUCGCAAAAGCAAUAUGAGUUUUAAUGCAAGACCCGCCCCGUAUCAGCAUGGUGUCAUUACUAUUGAGCCUUAGACUAUGAUGGACAUCUUGAAGAAGAACAAGCGAAAAGCUUGGGGUCACCUAUGGCGGCCUUCGUUAUUUACAUUUACUCUAUUUCAAAUUUUUAAUCAAUUUGAUUAUGUUCUUUUGAUUAGUUUAGUUUCAUACUUCACUUGGGAUUGUUGAUUUACUUUUGACUCCUUCACUUAGUAUUCUCACUUAGUUACUCGCAA